UGGGGGGAGUGAUUAGAGAAUUGAAACUUUCAUUCCGACACCCUGACCUUCAGGAAGGAGAGAGGGGUUGGAGGUUGAGUCAAUCACCAAUGGCCAAAGAGUCAAGCAAUCACACCUGUGUGAUGAAGCCUCCAUAAAAACCCAAAAGGACAGUGUUUAGAGAACUUCCUGGUUUGUGGAUAUACGGAGGUGCUGGGAGACUGGUGCUCCGGGAUAGGGCUUGGAAGCUCCACGUGCCUUUCCACAUACCUUGCCCUACAAAUCUCUUCCAUGUGGAUGUUCAUCUGUAUCCUGUAUCAUAUCCUUUUAUAACAAACUGCUGAAGUCAAGAAACUGGGCCACAGCCAAGCACACAUGCCUGAUGAGCGACAGAGGUGAUGCCAUCUGACUGCAGAGCGCAAGAGCCAAACCUUUGCACUAGUCACCCUCCUGACUCCAGGAGCAAACUAUGGCAUGCUCCUUUUUAAAGAAAGUAUGAGACUUUUCAGGAGGUAUUUUUCCUGGAUAUAUAAAUCAAUUCGAUUCAUAGCAAAGUGGCUUCAGAGAUGACUGCAAAGUAAAUUUUCAAUCACCCAAGCCUCUCCUUCCUUGACGCAAGGGGGCUCCAGUCUGCUCUGGGCUUGCAGUGGACGCAUCACAUCCGCCAACUCUUUGAAGGUCACAUGGUUUCUGGGCUCAGCAAGAGUUCAGGAAACUCUUCAAUGUGGACACAAUGAUUAAUUUAAUCUUAGAGUUCAAAGGCUGCUUCUAUUAUUUUGAGUAACUGACAGAACAAAAGAGUGCAGUAAAAAAGAAAAAAGAAAAAAAGCGAAGGCAUGGGAUCAAGAAUCUCUGGCAAUGCACAGAAUGUUCCAGAGAAGGCUCUGCACUCACGUUAGGCCUGACCGUGUGUAGACUCUGCCCCUGCAGACGCAUCUGUGCAUUUAAGGCCACAAAAUGUUAAGAGACACUGGCCACUUUAGAUCUCUCAUUCAAACAUUACCAACUUCCAGCUAAGAAUUUCUCUUUUCCAUUUUCUUAGCUCCUUUUAAACACUUUCAGCAUUGGUUAUUGGUUUGGGACAAUAACAUUGAAAUGGCCUUCCUUUGUAGAGAUGUCAGGAAUCUGCCAGGAUUUUCAGGGACUUCCUGCUCUCCAGCAGUCGUUUUAAAUUUUUCCUUUGUUUUUGUAUGUUGGUUUGCUUUUAAUCCAAACUGCAUCAUGGGGCUUGUCAGCUAAAUGGGUUAUCGCUAUCUGGUGUUUUGUUCUUAAUGAUUCUCCGUGGCAUCCUUUCCAUUCUCCCUCCCUGCUCACCCGAAGUUAAUAACAGGAGAACUCUAAACAAAUGAGCUGCUAUUCCCAGGGACCGUUUCUGCCAGCAUUAGAUUAUUUUUGUAUUGUGUGAGGUUGUUGCCUAGCAGGCUUUUAUUUUCAGUAACCACAGUUUUUGUUGUUUCUUGAUUUCAUAGAUGGUAAAAAAGAAAGCAAUUUUGGAUUACAUGCAGAAAAACUGUCUUUAAAAUCCCCAGUUACAUAGUAUAUAAUUUCCUCUAAAAUUCUUAUUGUGAAACACAGAGAGCCUUUUAAUGGAAGCAAUCACAGGUGCUUUAAUGGAAAGCCUAUAGAAAAGGGAGAUUUUAUAGGUGGAAUCGCUUCUCUUCAGACCCCUUUAAGUUCAGUGGGCGAACUAACCACAAGGCUUUGAUUUCAUCCUGUGGAAAAUCAUUUUCCCCAACUGUUUAUUCGCUUGGAAAAGCCUCUAACAAUGGACAAUGACUUUUAACCAAUGGAGAGGUUUUUGGUUGAACCCUAUGAAAUAGCUGGUUUUUGCAGGUCAAAAAUGGUGGAACAUCAGUAAUUUUGUAGAAUCUAACUUAAGAGAAGACUCAAAAUGAUAGAAGAAGUUAAAAAAAUAUAUAGAGAGUGACCUAGAUCCAUACAAAGACCGGGAGAAGUGGGAGAGAAGGAUCUGAAGGGUAACACAGAGCGCCUGGGCAGCAGGGGUCUGAUUCUCCAUACGGGAGCUCUUGUGC
rnacentral:lncRNA from 1 species